GUGAUCAGAUCGAUAAAGUUUCAAAUCAACAUUUAUCAGGUAAAAGUCGGUUAAACUUGAUGUCUCUGUUUCUAUCUCACCAGAUAUUCAUCAGUUAUUGUUGGAUGUGAGGUCUUUUAUCUGAUUUCUAUCAAACACUGCGGUCACAUCUUCUGACAGGCUGCCUCACGGUUUGCUAAUGACGUCGGAAAAAGUAGGCCUGCGCCGGCAUGAAUUUGGGUUGCGGAUUUGCAAGGCAAAGAAGUGUCUGUGGGCUGACUGAUGGAGUGAUUGUGAGCGUAAGCGUCCUCAGGCUGAACAAUCUACUGCCAUUCAGCAGAAAGUCGCCCGCAGUCAUGAGGGAGCGAGUCCUCCGG